UGGGGAAUCUUGCGCAAUGGGCGGAAGCCUGACGCAGCAACGCCGCGUGGGGGAUGACGGCCUUCGGGUUGUAAACCUCUUUCGCGAUCGACGAAGGCCUGUUUUCUGCAGGUUGACGGUAGGUCGAGAAGAAGCACCGGCCAACUACGUGCCAGCAGCCGCGGUAAUACGUAGGGUGCGAGCGUUGUCCGGAAUUAUUGGGCGUAAAGAGCUCGUAGGCGGUGUGUCGCGUCGGCCGUGAAAACCUGGGGCUCAACUCUGGGCGUGCGGUCGAUACGGGCAUCACUUGAGUUCGGCAGGGGAGACUGGAAUUCCUGGUGUAGCGGUGAAAUGCGCAGAUAUCAGGAGGAACACCGGUGGCGAAGGCGGGUCUCUGGGCCGAUACUGACGCUGAGGAGCGAAAGCAUGGGUAGCGAACA
rnacentral:rRNA from 1 species